CGACGUGGCUCAGUUGGUAGAGCAUUUCAUUCGUAAUGAAAGGGUCACGGGUUCGAGUCCCGUCGUCGG
rnacentral:tRNA from 1 species